CGGACGGGUGAGUAAUGUCUGGGAAACUGCCCGAUGGAGGGGGGUAACUACUGGAAACGGUAGCUAAUACCGCAUAACGUCGCAAGACCAAAGAGGGGGACCUUCGGGCCUCUUGCCAUCGGAUGUGCCCAGAUGGGAUUAGCUAGUAGGUGGGGUAACGGCUCACCUAGGCGACGAUCCCUAGCUGGUCUGAGAGGAUGACCAGCCACACUGGAACUGAGACACGGCCCAG
rnacentral:rRNA from 1 species